rnacentral:rRNA from 1 species
UACGUAGGGGGCAAGCGUUGUCCGGAAUCAUUGGGCGUAAAGCGCGUGUAGGCGGUUCGAUAAGUCUGCUGUGAAAGUCCAGGGCUCAACCCUGGGAUGCCGGUGGAUACUGUCGGACUAGAGUACGGAAGAGGCGAGUGGAAUUCCCGGUGUAGCGGUGAAAUGCGCAGAUAUCGGGAGGAACACCAAUUGCGAAGGCAGCUCGCUGGGACGUCGACUGACGCUGAGACGGCGAAAGCGUCGGGGAGCAAACA